rnacentral:pre_miRNA from 1 species
AGGGGGAGCACCGGAUCCUGGGCUGUGUCCCCGGCGCCCUGUGCUCCGGGCCUGUGCUGCUGGAAUCAUGCUCCCAGGGCUGCGACUCCCA